AUGCCACUUGAUGUAUAUUACUAAUAUUGGAAUGAUACAGAGCAGAAUGGCACGCCCCUGUGCAAGGAAGACAUGCAAAUUCAUGAAGUUUGUUCCAUAUUUUU
rnacentral:snRNA from 1 species